GGAACACAAGUAAGAGAAUGAGUUCAUACAGUAAUUAGACCGAUUCUUUUGUCUAUUCAUAUGUUUAAUCAUUAUAUAAGCACCUACAGCUUGCAUGAGUGUAACUCUACAACAAAUUAAAGAUAACAAAACAAAGAUCUGAACUGAUCAGAAACUAAAAAGAAUCAAGAAGACAACCAUAAACAUCAUAUGUAAGAAAUCAUAAAUGUUUAUAAGCUUUAAACUUUUUUAUUAUCCC
rnacentral:lncRNA from 1 species